rnacentral:lncRNA from 1 species
AUUCUUUAGAAAUUUCUAAAACAUUCCUAUGGAAUGAAUGCUUUCAAUUUUGUAGGAAGCAUCACAUCAGAUUGAAUGUCCACUAAAGAAUGCUGGUGCAAAGACCCACUCUACCCCUCUCUUGUUGAUGUGAAGUUUCUUAUGAAACAUUCAUGAGAUGCCAUGUUCUUUUCUUGGAUGGGUAAGUGGGGGAGUGGACUCUGCCCUUGAUAGGAACUAAG